CUCAGCCAGCCAGGCCUCAGCAAGCCAAGGGCGGGAGUCAUGGCGGAGAGUGUUGCUGUGAAUGAGGAUGCCGCAGCGUCUUCCUCCCAGUCCGCUGGCCUUGGGCCCUGUCCUCGGCGAUGGGAGCGACUGAGGCUGGCGGCCGGGCCUUGGGCGCGGUCGUUUGGCUUCCUGGGGGCGCUCAGUCUCGUUUACUUCUUGCGGGGCCCGCUCCGGCUGCGGGACAACUUAGUGGCAGUGACUGUUUUCUUGAGCACACUGACUCCAAAAUUCUAUGUUGCACUUACGGGGACUUCAUCUUUGAUAUCUGGUCUGAUAUUUAUAUUUGAAUGGUGGUACUUCAGAAAAUACGGCACAUCUUUUAUUGAACAGGUUUCCGUGAGUCAUUUGCGACCACUUAUUGGAGGGGCGGCGAAUGCUAGUUCUGCACAGGCAAAUUUCUCUGCUGCUAGUGGAGAAAAUGAAAUGAACAGACAAAAUAUGUCAGAGUGCAAAGUAUGGAGAAAUCCACUCAAUCUCUUUAGAGGAGCAGAAUAUAACAGAUACACAUGGGUGACAGGAAAGGAGCCACUAACAUAUUACGAUAUGAAUUUAUCUGCUCAGGAUCAUCAGAGUUUUUUCACCUGUGAAACAGACUCUCUUAGACCUUCAGAUGCAGUUAUGCAGAAGGCAUGGCGGGAAAGGAACCCUCAGGCCCGAAUCAAAGCAGCAUAUCAAGCUUUAGAAUUAAAUAAUGACUGUGCCACAGCAUACAUUCUUCUGGCUGAGGAAGAAGCAACUACUAUUUUAGAAGCUGAAAAAUAUUUUAAACAGGCUCUGAGAGCAGGAGAAACAGUUUAUAAAAAGUCUCAGCAUAGCAGUUCACAAAAUCCACACCAUGAGGCACAGAUAAGAAGAGAUACCAAUGUAUUGGUUUAUGUGAAAAGAAGACUAGCUAUGUGUGCAAGGAAGCUUGGAAGAAUUAAAGAAGCAGCAAAAAUGAUGAGGGAUUUAAUGAAAGAAUUUCCUAUCCUAAGUGUACUGAAUAUCCAUGAAAACCUCCUAGAAACACUUCUGGAGCUACAGGCUUAUGCUGAUGUCCAGGCAGUUCUAGCAAAGUAUGAUGAUAUCAGCCUUCCAAAAUCAGCAGCAAUAUGUUAUACAGCAGCACUUUUAAAAGCUAGAGCAGUUUCAGAUAGGUUUUCUCCAGAAACAGCUUCUAGAAGGGGACUUAGCACAGCAGAAAUUAAUGCUGUAGAAGCAAUACAUAGAGCAGUUGAAUUUAACCCUCACGUUCCAAAGUACUUGCUAGAAAUGAAAAGCUUAAUUUUGCCUCCGGAGCACGUUCUGAAGCGUGGGGACAGUGAAGCAGUGGCUUAUGCAUUCUUCCAUCUUCAGCACUGGAAGCGAGUAGAAGGAGCCCUUAACUUGCUGCACUGCACAUGGGAAGGCACAUUUAGAAUGAUUCCAUAUCCAUUAGAAAAGGGACAUCUAUUUUAUCCCUAUCCCAGCUGCACAGAGACAGCAGACAGAGAGUUAUUACCAACAUUUCAUGAUGUAUCUGUGUAUCCCCAGAAAGACCUUCCUUUUUUCAUCCAUUUUACAGCAGGGCUGUGUUCUUUCACAGCAAUGUUAGCGCUACUCACACAUCAGUUUCCUGAACUCAUGGUCAUUUUUGCUAAAGCUAUGGUACCUCCUAAGAGCUGAAGUAACAGGGGUAGCUUUAUUAUGAAGCAAUGUAAAACAGUUAUUGAUGACUGUUUCCAAGUUUUUUGGAACGCUUUUGUCACCUUUGAGCUUCUUGAUGGAGAAGAUUGAACGCCUCAUGCCUUCUGGUCUCUGGCAUCAGCUGACACAAAUCUGAACAGAGCUCAGUUCUCAGGAACUUUAGCAUCAGCACCUCUUGAUUACAAAAGCAUUGGCAACUAGGAGUGUGAAGGAAGACUUACUUAGCUUUGUUUUACAGCCUCUUAAAAAUUUGCUGUACUCCUUCUUAAGCCUAAAAUGUUGUAGAGUUAAAACACACAAUUCAAUGUCUGUGUGGGUGGGAAGAGGAUUGUUGUAUUUAAGGCUACUGCUUUCUCUCUCAGAAAUUCCAGAAAGCAAUAAAUCUGAUAGAUCCUAUGUUGAAAUUUC